CCUUCCUCCACGCCAGGGCACGUGCUGUGCUAAUGGUGGCUGAGCCAUUUGCACCCCGUUUCUGUAGGUUCUUUGUGGCAGUGGCACAGUAAGAAGAGCAGCUUCCAGAAGAACCACAAGGAUUCCCUGGGGGUCAGAGCUGGGCCAAGGCUUUGUGGGGGCCCCGUGGAUGAUCCUCUCUGGUCACGGAGCCCUUUGGGGAGCCUAACCUUGCAGGAGGCCAUCAAACUGCCAAGCCUAUUUGCAGGUACUUCUCUCCACCCGCCAGAGUCCUCCCUACUCCCUAAUCAUGCCCUAAUCCUCCUGGGGCUGUG
rnacentral:lncRNA from 1 species